CCUACGGGUGGCAGCAGUGAGGAAUAUUGGUCAAUGGGAGAGAUCCUGAACCAGCCAAGCCGCGUGAGGGAAGACGGCCCUAUGGGUUGUAAACCUCUUUUGUCGGAGAACAAAACCCGGGACGUGUCCCGGACUGCGUGUAUCCGAAGAAAAAGCAUCGGCUAACUCCGUGCCAGCAGCCGCGGUAAUACGUAGGUGGCAAGCGUUGUCCGGAUUUACUGGGUGUAAAGGGCGUGUAGCCGGGUUGACAAGUCAGAUGUGAAAUGCUGCGGCUUAACCGCAGAACUGCAUUUGAAACUGUUGAGCUUGAGUACUGGAGAGGCAGACGGAAUUCCUAGUGUAGCGGUGAAAUGCGUAGAUAUUAGGAGGAACACCAGUGGCGAAGGCGGUCUGCUGGACAGCAACUGACGGUGAGGCGCGAAAGCGUGGGGAGCAAACAGGAUUAGAUACCCGAGUAGUC
rnacentral:rRNA from 1 species